ACUUAGCUCAGCAGCCAAAUGAAGGAGGAGGUCGCUCCACUUCUACCUUCAGGUAAGUUCCCCUCGCUGCACCCCGCAAAAAAACAAGUAACAACCUCUAGAGCGGCUACUGCACGCCAAUACCCACCUCCUCCCCCCCAACCUCAGACCUCCACUAAAUACCUAAGAUCCUAGAGUCCCUGCCUGAAGGCACGCGAGACGCUGGGGGAAGGUGUCCGCGCUGGCUCCACAUCCUCGCGCGGCAGAGGUAAGCCGCUUCCAGUCUUCCCAGGCCUUACCUGGGAUCUGACAUUUGUUUGCAACUCAGGGGCCGCGGUUUUCCAGAGGCCUUGCUUCCGGGCGAGGCUACCCCUACCCCAGAGAAGAAGCCGGUACGAAACUGCUCCGCCGUAGGACACACAGGGCGCCGCCAUGUUAGCUGUGGGAGCUCCAGGACCGGAGGGGUGAGGGGGCGGGGCCUAGAGACGGCGCAGGCGCUAAUGGCGCGGGGUUCCAGAGGCUGUCCUGUGCAAGAGCUUCUCGGGCCUUUGGAUCAGGGGGCGUGUCCCGCGAUCCGCGACAGCUCGUCGCUGAUUGGGUGCAUGGUGUCCGCGGGGCGUAUCCGACUCCACCCCUGCUCGGUGUCGACCUCAAGAAGGAUCGCUGGUGGGUCGUUUUUCUCGGCCUCUUUCUCUUCACGUCCUGAACUCAGUCUCUUCGGGACUCACUUCCACGCUCUCCUAGUCUCUUUGGCACUCACAUCCACGUGGCGCUUUAGCCAGCCCUUCCUUCCCAGCCCCCUUGCUGCACCUCGAGCCGGCUCUUCCUCCACCUGGGCAGGGCGGCCGGGGCCCCAGAUGCGCUCCAAGCCUUGAUUCCUGUCUGCCUUAUCCUAGUAGGGGUUUUCCCCUCCUCUAACUUUCCACGUUCGUCUGGUUCCAAGUCAAGACUCUCCUGCAGCAACUGUCAAGCCCCUCUCGGUUCCCUGGCACUCUCCUGCGUUGUUUCUUAACUGUAUAAUGCACAGGAUAAACCUUAAACCGGUAAGGUCAAACACUACCUUUCUCGUUUUUGCACGCCCCUCCCUAAGCGUUGGUACUAAGCCUUACUUGAAACCCAAUCAGAACUGAUUAAUUGUUGAAUAGAGAUGAGUAUGUCUUGCUUUCUGAAACUUGCGUGCUCCUGGCAGUUAACUCCCAGGUUGCUUUCUACGAAACACAUACUAAAUGAUGUAGUAACGCACUUUAAAAGGGUUUACACACACUUAGAUUUGAAGGGUCAGUAAAAGUAAAACACACAGAAAAUCUGAGAUCAUACAAAGUUGUCAAGCAAAUAAAUGCCGUCUACUAUCACCAUCAUUUCACGAAACAGAACUUUUUAGCAUUAAAAAGGUAGAAUGGCAGAAUUUCACAAUAAAGAAAAAUCUUUUAAAUGGAAUACAUUUACUUGUAUAAAAUGCUCAUCCUGUUGUUCUUUUUGUUAUUAGCUUUUAGACUAGCAAAAGAUAUCUUGAGAAAUUGGCAGAGGUCGGAGGACUAAACUCUGAUUUUUUUAUCUUGCCCAAGAUUCCUAUCUACAGGAUUUGGGGAGUCAUGCCCUACAAAUCAUAAAUUCUUAUUAGAUGGGUUUUACUUAACCCUAUAUAUGGUGACUUACUUUCCAACCUGACUCUGGCAUAACAUUACAAGACAAGGAAGAAAAUCAAAAUAUUUUACCCCAAAACAUGUUUCUUUGCCAUAUCUUGAAAUGGCCCUGCAAAGCUGUCCUUGGAGGGGUGGGAUAUGCAUCUGUAAAGAAUCUGUAUUAACAUAGCUAGAUCUUUUUCUUCCAGACCCUCCCAAUCCUAAAGAGAUUAACUAAGAUCUGAAUAGGAAACAUUUGUCAUCCAUUGUCUCUAAGGGCAGCCACUGUAAGACUUACAGAGAACUUUGGUCUCCACAAUCUUUAUCUUAAACUGAACAUUCCCUUUCUAUCAGUCCCAGGUCUUUCUGGACCAAACCAAUGUAUUUCUUAAAUGUGUUUGAUUGAUGUCUCAUGCCUCCCUAAAAUGUAUAAAAUCAAGUUGCGCCCUGACCACCUUGGGCACAAAUUCUCAGGACCUGCUGAGGACUGUGUCAUGGGCCAUGAUCACUCAUAUUUGUCUCAGAAUAAAUCUCUUCAAAAUAUUUUACAGAGUUCGACUCUUUUUGUCAACGGAUGGAUAAACUAGCAUUUGGGAAUCAAGACUUUAUUUAUUUAUUUAUUUUAUUUAUUUUGAGAUGGAAGUUCGCUCUUGUCGUCCAGGCUGCAGUGCAGUGAUGUGAUCUCGGCUCACUGCACCUUCUGCCUCCCGGGUUCAAGCGAUUCUCCUGCCUCAGCCUCCCGAGUAGCUGGGAUUAUAGGUGCCCACCACCAUGCCCAGCUAAUUUUUGUGUUUUUAGUAGAGACAGGGUUUCGCCGUGUUGGCCAGGCUGGUCUUGAACUCCUGACCUCAGGUGAUCUGCCCGCCUUGGUCUCCCAAAGUGCUAGGAUUACAGACGUGAGCCACCGCUUGCAGCAGAGAACCAAGACUUUAUAGCUCAUUAAAAUAGAUGUCUUUAAACAGCAGUUCCUACACAUUGUGAGAUUAUUUAAAAAUUUUUUAAAAUCUUAAUUGUGGAAAUUUAACCAAGUAGAAAACAGUGAGUAUGUGGAAGCAGGAUUUAUACUAUUAAAAAAUUAUUGAUAUUGGACCAUAUAAGAACUAAGUACUAAAAUUAAGGUUAGGAGUGGUGGAGAUUUUUCCCUUUUUUGAAAUUCAUGUCACAGUCCUUUACUAGCAUGCAGUCAUGCACUGCAUUAUGCAGUUUCGGUCAACAGUGACCUUCACAUAAGACAGUGGUCCCAUAAAAUUAUAAUAGAGCUAAAAAGUUCCUAUCUCCUAAUGACCUUAUAGCCAUCAAGACAUCAUAGUAAGGGAGGAUACCACCCCUCAUAUUGUCUUAUGCCCCAUUUCUCCCUCCAAAGAAAGAAGUACAAACUAAAAGGCAGAAAUGGAAUCCACAGGGAGAUAGCCCAGCACUGGGCCCUGGGCCUGGUAGUUAAAAAUCAACCCCUGACCUAACUGCUUGUGUUAUCUGUAGAUUUCAAACAUUGUAUGGAAAAGCAUUGUGAAAAUCCCUGUCCUGUUAUGUUCCAUUCUGAUUACCAGUGCAUGCAGCCCCCACUCAGGUACCCCCUGCUUGCUCAAUCGAUCAUGACCCUCUGAUAUGGAUCCCCUUAGAGUUGUAAGCCCUUAAAAGGGACAGAAAUUGCUCGCUUGGGGAGCUUGGUUUUUGGAGACGUGAGUCUGCCAAUGCUCCCAGCUGAAUAAAGCCCUUUCCUUCUACAACUCGGUGUCUGAGGGGUUGUUGUCUGCGGCUCAUCCUGCUACAAUAGUACAACGCAUUGCUUACCCAUUUGUCGCGAUGAUAGUGUAAACAAAUCUAUGCACUGCC
rnacentral:lncRNA from 10 species